rnacentral:rRNA from 1 species
UUGUCGGUAGUGUAGUGGACUACCGAGGUUUUUACGGGUGACGGGGGAUCAGGGUUCGAUUCCGGAGAGGGAGCCUGAGAAACGGCUACCACAUCCAAGGAAGGCAGCAGGCGCGCAAAUUACCCAAUCCAGACAAUGGGAGGUGGUGACGAAAAGUACCGGAUGACGAUCAAUGAUUGUCAAUUCGGAAUGGAAUCAAUUUAAGCAAUUGGUUGAGAAACGACUGGAGGGCAAGUCUGGUGCCAGCAGCCGCGGUAAUUCCAGCUCCAGUAGCGUAUCUCAAAGUUGCUGCGCUUAAAACGCUCGUAGUUGGAUCACAAACUAUGCAACGGUUGAUAUGACGGUAAGUCAAAAAUGAAGAUUUGGCAGUAUGUCAUCAUAUUGUUGAUGAUUCAUCUGGGUUAUCGUGAUAUCAUAAGCUGGGGUGUAGUAAUUGCAUGUGAGGAUAGAUAUUGGCCUUGAGUGAGCUGAUGUUUGUGUCUCGCAGAGUGUGCCUUGAGUAAAUCAGAGUGCUUAAAGCAGGCUUGACGCUUGAAUGUUAUAGCAUGGAACGAACAAUCGUGUAUGGUGUAUAUUGGGUAUUGAUUGGUAGACUCGUUUAUCAAUCAUCAAUGUACGACACCGACCACCAAUGAACGGAUGUUGGUUCCGUCAUGGGGUAUCGAUUAAGAGGAGCGGUUGGGGGCAUUGGUAUUUGGCAGCGAGAGGUGAAAUUCUUGGACCUGUCAAGGACUAACAAAUGCGAAGGCAUCUGUCCAGACCGUAUCCAUUAAUCAAGAACGAUAGUGAGAGGUUCGAAGACGAUCAGAUACCGUCCUAGUUCUCACCGUAAACUAUGCCGACCCGG